rnacentral:rRNA from 1 species
AGAGUUUGAUCAUGGCUCAGGAUGAACGCUGGCGGCGUGCCUAACCUAUGCAAGUCGAGCGAGGCUUCGAGCCGAGCGGCGGACGAGUGAGUAACACGUACCUAAUCUGCCUGUAAGUGGGGAACAACCGCCCGAAAGGGUGGCUAAUACCGCAUGUGCUCUACGGAGUAAAGCUUUUGCGCUUACAGAUGAGGGUGCGGCCUAUCAGUUUGUUGGUGGGGUAAUGGCCUACCAAGACUAUGACGGGUAGCUGGUCUGAGAGGAUGAUCAGCCACGCUGGGACUGAGAUACGGCCCAGACUCCUACGGGAGGCAGCAAGUGGGAAUAUUGCACAAUGGGCGAAAGCCUGAUGCAGCGACGCCGCGUGAAGGAUGAAGGCCUUCGGGUUGUAAACUUCUUUUAUAGAGCAGCAAGAUAUGAGCGCUCUAUGAAUAAGCACCUGCUAACUACGUGCCAGCAGCCGCGGUAAUAC